GAUGAACGCUAGCGGCAGGCCUAACACAUGCAAGUCGAGGGAGAAGCCCUUCGGGGCAGAAACCGGCGCACGUGUGCGUAACGCGUAUGCAACCUACCUUUCACAGGGGGAUAGCCCGAAGAAAUUUGGAUUAAUACCCCAUAAUAUUAUUGGAUGGCAUCAUUUGAUAAUUAAAACUGAGGUGGUGAAAGAUGGGCAUGCGUCCUAUUAGCUAGUUGGAGUGGUAACGGCACCCCAAGGCUACGAUAGGUAGGGGUCCUGAGAGGGAGAUCCCCCACACUGGUACUGAGACAGGGACCAGACUCCUACGGGAGGCAGCAGUGAGGAAUAUUGGUCAAUGGUCGGAAGACUGAACCAGCCAUGCCGCGUGCAGGAAGAAUGCCUUAUGGGUUGUAAACUGCUUUUAUAUGGGAAGAAUAAGGAGUACGUGUACUUNGANGACGNUNCCA
rnacentral:rRNA from 1 species